rnacentral:rRNA from 1 species
GAUGAACGCUGGCGGCGUGCCUAAUACAUGCAAGUCGAGCGAACGGACGAGAAGCUUGCUUCUCUGAUGUUAGCGGCGGACGGGUGAGUAACACGUGGAUAACCUACCUAUAAGACUGGGAUAACUUCGGGAAACCGGAGCUAAUACCGGAUAAUAUUUUGAACCGCAUGGUUCAAAAGUGAAAGACGGUCUUGCUGUCACUUAUAGAUGGAUCCGCGCUGCAUUAGCUAGUUGGUAAGGUAACGGCUUACCAAGGCAACGAUGCAUAGCCGACCUGAGAGGGUGGUCGGCCACCCGGGAAGUGAGACACGGUCCAGACUCCUACGGGAGGCAGCAGUCGGGAAUCUUCCGCAAAGGGCGAAAGCCUGACGGAGCAACGCCGCGUGAGUGAUGAAGGUCUUCUGAUCGUAAAGCUCUGUAAUUAGGGAAGAACAUAUGUGUAAGUAACUGUGCACAUCUUGACGGUACCUAAUCAGAAAGCCACGGCUAACUACGUG